GUUUUCUGGUCCUGCCCUCAGUCUUCAGAGUUCUGACACUUCCCUGGGGUCCAGGCCUAGAGAGCUGCUCUGUGGCCUCAGGACCCAGUGCUCUUCCUCACCUUCCCUGGGAUGUUUCCUUCCCGCAGGUGAGAAAGGAGGACAGUACACUCAGGCUGCAAACAGCGACAGUUCCCAAGGCUCUGAUGAGUCUCUCUCGAAUCCUAGAGUGUGAGACAGCUGCCCCGCUGGGUUUCCUCACAUCCCAGUGUUGUUAUUCAAGAACUGCUGAUUCUCUUUCUGCCCUGGGACCUGAGUGUGUCUGUCCUGCCACUUACGGUGAUGGGAGAGACUGGCCCACCCCUGCCCACCGGGCCCU